GAAUUAAAAUCCUAUCUUUUCAAUGAUGGAAUGUUGUACAAGAUAGUUCAGAAGAUACAUUCUUAGAUACAGAAGUAAAAAUUUGCCAGGGGAAACUACAAAAAAAAAAAAAAAGAAGAAGAAGAAAUAAUCAUUCUGGAAAUAUGCUUCAUCAUCAUCUUCAAAAGAGACCGACACUUAGACGAAUCCGGCUUUCGCUGGGUGUGCCGCCGAGAGAAUGGCUCCAAAGGUUGUAUGAAGCUGGAACAGUACGUAGAUGCAGCAUUGCAGCCUCACCAGGUGUGUGAGGGGAGUAUUCCGGAGAGAACGUGAUCCUCUUGGAGUAG